rnacentral:rRNA from 1 species
CGGGCAACUGGGGAUAAUACCCUAUAGGAUAUUGAUGCUGGAAUGCGCGAUAUCUGAAAGUUGAGGCGCCGCAGGAUGGGUCUGCGGCCGAUUAGGUAGUUGUUGGGGUAACGGCCCAACAAGCCUGUAAUCGGUACGGGUUGUGGGAGCAAGAGCCCGGAGAUGGAUUCUGAGACAUGAAUCCAGGCCCUACGGGGCGCAGCAGGCGCGAAAACUUUACAAUGCCGGCAACGGCGAUAAGGGAACCUCGAGUGCCAGGUUACAAAUCUGGCUGUCGUGAUGCCUAAAAAGCAUUGCAUAGCAAGGGCCGGGCAAGACCGGUGCCAGCCGCCGCGGUAACA